UACGUAGGUGACCAGCGUUGUCCGGAUUUACUGGGCGUAAAGAGCGCGCAGGCGGUCCUUUAAGUCUUGUGUUUAAUGCCAAAGCUCAACUUUGGUACGCAUGGGAAACUGGGGGACUGGAGUGCAGGAGAGGAAAGUGGAAUUCCACGUGUAGCGGUGAAAUGCGUAGAGAUGUGGAGGAACACCAGUGGCGAAGGCGACUUUCUGGCCUGUAACUGACGCUGAGGCGCGAAAGCUAGGGGAGCAAACGGG
rnacentral:rRNA from 1 species